rnacentral:rRNA from 1 species
UACGUAGGGUGCAAGCGUUGUCCGGAAUUAUUGGGCGUAAAGAGCUCGUAGGUGGCCUGUCGCGUCGGCUGUGAAAACUCGGGGCUCAACUCCGAGCUUGCAGUCGAUACGGGCAGGCUAGAGUUCGGCAGGGGAGACUGGAAUUCUCGGUGUAGCGGUGAAAUGCGUAGAUAUCGAGAGGAACACCUGCGGCGAAGGCGGGUUGCUGGGCUGACACUGACGCUGAGGCGCGAAAGCUAGGGGAGCGAACGGG